rnacentral:rRNA from 1 species
GACGGAGGAUGCAAGUGUUAUCCGGAAUCACUGGGCGUAAAGCGUCUGUAGGUGGUUUAAUAAGUCAACUGUUAAAUCUUGAGGCUCAACCUCAAAAUCGCAGUCGAAACUAUUAGGCUAGAGUAUAGUAGGGGUAAAGGGAAUUUCCAGUGGAGCGGUGAAAUGCGUAGAGAUUGGAAAGAACACCGAUGGCGAAAGCGGCUCACUGGUCCGGUUCUGACGCUGAGGCGCGAAAGCGUGGGGAGCAAACAGG